rnacentral:rRNA from 1 species
GGAUGCGUCCAUCAGCUAGUUGGUGAGGUAUAGCUCACCAAGGCUAGACGGUACUGGGUGAGAGCAUGUACAGUCACCAUGAACUGAGACACGGUCCAUACUCCUACGGGAGGCAGCAUAGAAUCUGCGCAAUGGGGGCAACCCUGACGCAGCGACACAGCGUGGAGGAUGAAGGUCUUCGGAUUGUAACUCCUUUUAUGAGGGAAGAAUAGAUGACGGUACCUCAUGAAUAAGUACCUGCUAACUACGUGCCAGAAGCAUCGGUGAUGCGUAGGGUACGAACGUUAUCCGGAGUCAUUGGGCGUAAAGAGAAGCGUAGGCGGUUUAGUUAGUCUCGGGUUAAAAACCAUGGCUCAACCAUGGGGAAGCUCUAGAUACUGCUAGACUUGAGAUAUAGAGGGGUGAAUGGAAUUCCGAGUGGAGUGGUGAAAUACGUUGAUAUUCGGAGGAACAUCAGAGGCGAAGGCGAUUCACUGGCCAUAUUCUGACGCUAAGGCUCGAAAGCGUGGGUAGCAAAACGGAUUAGAUACCCGUGUAGUCCACGCCGUAAACAAUGGAUGCUAGGUGUUUGGCACGACUUCUUAUUAUCUUCGGAUUUUUAAGUGGAAGUGUUAAGUGCCGCAGUUAACGCGUUAAGCAUCCCGCCUGGGAAGUACGGCCGCAAGGCUAAAACUCAAAUGAAUUGGCGGGGACCCGCACAAGCGGAGGAGCGCGUGGUUUAAUUCGAUGGUAAUCGAAGACCUUACCAGGGUUUGAAAUGUAUCUGCAUGCCCCUAGAAACAGGGGAGGCCUUCGAGGGUGAUACACAGGUGCUGCAUGGCCGUCGUCAGCUCGUGUCGUGAGAUGUAGGGUUAAGUCCCGAAACGAGCGCAACCCCCAUCCUAUGUUACAAGUAUCUUAGGAAACUGCCUCGGUAAAACGGGGAGGAAGGAGGGGAUGACGUCUGGUCCGCAUAGCCCUUAUGUCCUGGGCGACACACGCGCUACAUGGUCGGUAAAACGGGCAGCCAAGCCGUAAGGCGGAGCUAAUCCUAAAAAACCGAUCUCAGUUCAGAUUGUGGGCUGAAACUCGCCCACAUGAAGUUGAUCCGCUAGUAAUCGCAGAUCAGCAUGCUGCGGUGAAUACGUCUCGUCCUGCACUCACCGCCCGUC